AUUGAACGCUGGCGGCAUGCUUUACACAUGCAAGUCGAACGGUAACAGGGAGCUUGCUCCGCUGACGAGUGGCGAACGGGUGAGUAAUGCGUCGGAACGUGCCGAGUAGUGGGGGAUAACGCAGCGAAAGUUGUGCUAAUACCGCAUACGUACUGAGGUAGAAAGUGGGGGACCUUCGGGCCUCACGCUAUUCGAGCGGCCGACGUCUGAUUAGCUAGUAGGUGAGGUAAAGGCUCACCUAGGCGACGAUCAGUAGCGGGUCUGAGAGGAUGAUCCGCCACACUGGGACUGAGACACGGCCCAGACUCCUACGGGAGGCAGCAGUGGGGAAUUUUGGACAAUGGGCGAAAGCCUGAUCCAGCCAUGCCGCGUGUCUGAAGAAGGCCUUCGGGUUGUAAAGGACUUUUGUCGGGGAGGAAAUCCCCAGCGCUAAUACCGCUGGGGGAUGACAGUACCUGAAGAAUAAGCACCGGCUAACUACGUGCCAGCCGCCGCGGUAAAAC
rnacentral:rRNA from 1 species